UAUGCUAGAGAUUGUUUUCUUCAGGCGGGUUGUAUUUUUACGGAUAACCAAUCCUUAGCCUUGGCUAUUCGCUCUCCUCUGGAUGACUUUUCAGAGUUUGGAUUAGUUGUUUCUGAUUGCAAAGAUGUUAUGCGGUCUCAGGGUAACAUUCAUGUUUGUUGGGUACGGCGUUCAGAAAAUAGAGUCGCCCAUUUAUUAGCUAGAGAGUC
rnacentral:lncRNA from 1 species